UACGUAGGGGGCUAGCGUUGUCCGGAUUUAUUGGGCGUAAAGCGCGUGUAGGCGGCCAGAUAGGUCUGCUGUGAAAACUCGAGGCUCAACCUCGAGCUGUCGGCGGAAACCAUCCGGCUAGAGUCCGGAAGAGGCGAGUGGAAUUCCUGGUGUAGCGGUGAAAUGCGCAGAUAUCAGGAGGAACACCGAUGGCGAAGGCAGCUCGCUGGGACGGUACUGACGCUGAGACGCGAAAGCGUGGGGAGCGAACAGG
rnacentral:rRNA from 1 species